rnacentral:rRNA from 1 species
UACGUAGGGCGCAAGCGUUAUCCGGAAUUAUUGGGCGUAAAGAGCUCGUAGGCGGUUUGUCGCGUCUGCCGUGAAAGUCCGGGGCUCAACUCCGGAUCUGCGGUGGGUACGGGCAGACUAGAGUGAUGUAGGGGAGACUGGAAUUCCUGGUGUAGCGGUGAAAUGUGCAGAUAUCAGGAGGAACACCGAUGGCGAAGGCAGGUCACUGGGCCGCAACUGACGCUGAGGAGCGAAAGCAUGGGGAGCGAACAGG